UAAAAUCUACUCUAUUAGCAGUUGUACUUGCUGUUGACAGUGUACCUCUCUGUAAACUCUGUUUAAUGUGCCCACUCAGCAUGUGAUUUAAAGAUCUGCAAUAAAGAAGUCCACUGCGACCAACAGACUCACAGCUUCACAGCAGCCCAGAACAGUGUGCUUCUCCUUACCCCUGCCCCCAUAGGAAGACCUGCCUACAAAUCUCUCAAUUUCACAAGCAGAUAAAUAAAGAGGUGCAAAUAGGAGAGAAGUGGAGUAUGAACCCACAACACAUGAUGGAGAUCAAGGAAGUAGAGCUUCAGGAGCAGAGACCCAGACCCAGGGCCUUCAAAUCAAGGGCAGAACUCUGCCCUUCAUAGGAGUCAGGAAGAAAGGAAGCAAGACAAAAAUCCUAUUGCUGGGACACAAAAGUGAAGGCUGGAACUCAAGUGCAAAGAGGCUGUCCAAAACAGGAAUGGAACUGGAUAAAAUACUGGGGCUUCCUCACUGGAAUGAAGGAUUUGUGGCGAGCUGGACCUGGACAAGGUACACUUGCGAAGGAGUCAAUGGCUCGUAACAUCUUCAUCUCUCCUCAGUAGGAAUCAGAGCUGGAAACCACAAUUUCUAUUUCACUGCUUCCCAGGGCAGGAAUUGGCAGCCAGGAGGCAAGCACAUCAUCACAGCCUUAAGUGCAUAUUUCAUCAUCAGAUGAAGCGGUUUCUCGCAUCAUUUAUUAUUUACCCAGUCACUUUAACAAUCACCUGAUCUCCAAGACAGGUCGAUGGAGUGUUGGGGUCUCCACGUUAAUAUUUAUUUGGCAAUGGACUUUGUACUAGGAAAUAAAAGCAGAUUCCUAAAAGAGCUAUGUUAUCUGUAUUUUUCUAGGACAGCCAUAACAAAUAACUGCAAACUGGGUGGUUUAGAACAAUUCAUUGAAUCACAUUUCUGGAGGUGAAAAGUCUGAAGGAGGACCAUGCUCCUUCUGACACCUAUAAGGGAGGUAUUUUGCCUGGUCUCUCCCAGCUCCUAGUAGGCUCAGGAGCUCCUUGGUUUGUAGGAGCAUAAUUCUAACCUAUGUCUUCCUGUGCACAUGGUGUUCUCGCAGCAGCUUCCCUUUGUGCCUGUCUCUGUGUCCAAACUGUCCCCUUUUUGUAAGGAAACCAGUCAUAUUGGAUUAAGGACCAACCUAGUGACCUCAUGUUAAUUUGACUACCUUUCUAAAGAUCCUUUUUCCAAAUAAGGUCACAUUCCGAGGUACUGGGGGGUUAGCGUUUCAACUUAUCUUUUUGGGAGGAUAGAAUUCAACCCAUCACAUUAUUCUUUCCCAUCCAUUUCAUCACCAAUUGAUCUACCUUCAACCUUCCUUCUAAUCAGAAUCAUAUUCAUAUAAAUAAACCCGAAUAAGAUUCUUUGCUUUGGAAGAGACAGAAGCUUUCUCUGGGUUACUGUAACUGUCCUGAGUUUCCUGUUUCUGCAAAAUAGACAGAAAAAGCUGACUUCUAGCAGACAUUCCAUUACAGUUUGACCAUAGCUACAUGGGAAGUUAUACUAGUGGACACUCCUUUGGAGACAGUUUCUGGUUCUCAGUGCAGAGAACAAAGAACAUUCUUCCUUGGAAAUUGCCUCCACUAUUUUGUAAACAGGAGAGGACUUUUCAAACCUGGUUUUCAAAUAGCCUGAGGCUAAUUGUGCCCUCUCCAAGUUAAUCAUAUACUGGGCUUCCUCUCUCAACUGCUCUCACAAAGCUUGCUGAUUUCUCAAUAGCACGAGAUACUUGAAAAUAAAUGAUUUCUAGAUGCCUUUCAUAAUUCUGAGUCUGCCAUUGUCGUCAUUUUGUGUCUCCUACUAUAAAGGUUAGGGAAAACCCUUGCUUGGCGAGCCAGCAACUCAGGUAUGUUGCCUCAAGGUGAUUCUGCAUCCAUCACUGGACCACAAGCUGAGGUCCCCACACUUGCUUUGUUUUGCUGAGUCAACAGUCGCACCCCAUUGUUUUCAGAAUAAUGCUCUUAAGUGUUAUGUUUCUCCCCAAACCUCUCCUCAUUCAGUGCUGGAAACGUGAGAGCUACCCUUGCCUUCUCCCACUCCCUCACCACCCGUAUCUAAUUCAUCACAAAUCCUCAUCCACACUACCUCUGGCAUUGCUCUCAAGUCAGUUCCUUCUCUUCCGUUCUAAUCUCCUGGUGCUUAGUUCUGGCCAUCAUCAUCAUCAUCAUCAUCAUCAUCAUCAUCAUAUAUAUUUUUAAAAAGGCACAUUUCACACUGGCUACCCUGUUUCUAGUCUUUCCCCUUCCCAAUCUAUUCUCCACACCAUACCCAGUGUGGUCAUUCUAAACUAGAAGUCCGAUCAUAUUGCUCUUUCACUCAAAAUCCAACCUCCAGAUAAAGGGCAAGUGUCCAGACAUGGGACUCAUGCCUCUCCUUGAUCUGGCUCCUGGUAGCCUCCUCCCUUGUCAUCUCUUUCCCUUGCACUCUACCUUCAAACAUCCUGAACUCUUGGCAAUCCCCCAGUUCUGAAGGUUUUUUCUCCUCUUGCAGCCUCUGGGACAUUGGUUAUGCUUCUCCUUCUGUCUGGGAUGCUACCACCCCAACCCUGGCCAACUCCUGCUUGGUCUGCUGGCUGUCUGAACGGCUUUCUUGAUGGUGCCUAUGUGAUUCUAGAGGAAGGGAUCCUGCCACUCUGCUGACUUCCCCAUGGUGCAAAGGACCUGAUAUGGGAUGGGGGAGCAGGGAAGUGCCGGGCAGAGACCCUGGUGAGGGCUUCGCCCUUGGGCCUGUGCCCACAGACCUAAAUGAGGAUAGGCAUUUCUGGUUUUGAGUUCAAAAUGUUGCCUUUUGGCCUGCCACACCCCUCGCCCCAAUCCUGUGCCCAUAAAAAUCUAGGACCAUAGCAGGCACAGACAUGAGUUGUUAGACGUUGAGAGGAGCAGAAGAACACACUGGUAAACACCAGCAGACACCAGCAGGCCAGUGACAGUGGAACGACAUAAACACUGAAGAGAAUUCAGUAAGGGGUGGUCAGAGGGGAGUCCAGCCGCUGGACAGCCCGUCUCCAGGGGAAGGAAGAUCACCCUCCCACUCCAUCCCCCUUUGACUCCCCAUCCAUCUCGCCGAGAGCUACCUCCACCACUCAAUAAAACCUUGCACUCAUCCUCCAAGUCCACGUGUGAUCUGAUUCUUCCAGUACAGUAGGGCAAGAACCCAGGAUACAGAAAGCCCUCUGUACUUGUGAUGGGGAGUUGUAAACACAAACCCCUAGACACUGCCGUGGGGUUGGUUGGAACCCAAACAUGCUCCCCACAACCUCUGCACCUACUUGUCUGCAUGCUCCCCCUAAGGGGCUGAACAGUGGGGCCCCAAAGAAGUGAGCCACACCCCUGUCACAUGCCCUGCAAGGGGGAUAAAGGAACUUCUCCGUUUCACAUUCACCUCUCAGAAGGCUAUCCUGAUGUCAUGACCUAGCCUGCCAUGCCUCUGGGUAGCAUUCCAUUUCUGGAGCCAGGCCUUCCGACUGGGCUGCUCCCAGGCCCUUGCCCAUUCCGGUAAGUGGCUCCCCACUGGUUCUUCUGAUAAGACUGGGGUGUGGUGAGUGAGAUAGGGAGACUCUUGCCUCAGGGACAAUAUUUGAGGGUUGCUGAAAAACUCAGUAAUCAAGAUUCUAUUUUAAUGGAUCAGUAAGAGUGCUUAAAGGAAUAUUUAUAGUUUCGGGUGUUUGAGAAGGAAAAAAAGGUUUCUUCUCCAGCCUUAAGGAGUCAGAAAAAGAAGAAUAAAUGGAACCCAAAAUAGAAGGAAGAAAUCAAGGAAAUAGGAAAUACACCAACAAGAGUUCUGUUUCUGGCAAAAAAAAUUAUCUUCACACAGAUAACAACUAUAAGUGCUGGAAAAAUACAUAAAACCAACUAACCAAGGACCUAGAAAGUGAACCAAAGCAAGCACACUUCACAGGAGAGUUGAAGUUCACAGCAAGCAGUCAGCAUGGGGGAAAUUCUCAUUUUUUUCAGCUUUACCCUAAGGAUAGCUGCAGUUGGGUUGUGUCAUAGGUCAACAAAAGCUCCUGUGAAUAGCUCAUGAUUUUUCUGGCUCAUGAAAAAAAGAGAAGCUCCCAAGGGCAACCAGGGCUAUGGGAGGUGAAAGAAAUCCAAGAAAGAAGAACGCAUGAAAUGGGAAUCCCUAACUCUGUGCAUAAACUCUGGACAAGUCAGUGGGUGACCACUGAACCAUGCAGAGAGAGGGCAGACUGUACCAGUCCAAACUAAGAUCAUAACUACUAUGUAACCACUGGCAAGACCAAGUUUGAAGUUUAACUCUAACCAAGUUUAACUCUAACGAGCCUGCUAAAUGAACAUCCACAUACUUUGUAAAAAGAGAACAAAAUUCAGAAUCUCUACAACAUGUCUUUAACAAUGGUCAGGAUACAAUUCAAAAUUAAAAGACAUACAAAGAACCAGGAAAAUGUGGCUUACUCUCAAGAGAAAAGGUAGUCAAGAGAGCCUAACCCUGGGGUGACCCUGAUGUUGGAAUUAUUACAUAAAGGUUGUAAAAUAGCUGUUAAAACUAUGCUCAGUGAUGUAAAGAAAAUAGGCAAUAAAUGAAAACUUAAGAAAUCUCACUAAAUACAUAGAAUAUAUGAAAAGAACCAAACUAAAAUUAAAAUAUCAUGAACUGAAAAAUAAAAUACCUGAAAUAAAACUUUUACUGGAUGAGUUGAACGACAUAAUGGAGGUGAAAGAGGAAGGGAUAGGUAAGUUUUAAUAUAAAUAAGUAGAAUUAUCCAAACUAAAGUCAAGAAAGAAAAAAAGGACUAAAAAAAGUUUAUCGAACACCAGGAACUUGCGGUAUAAUGUCAAAGGUACUGGCAAAAAAAUCCCAGAAAGAGAAUGGGGCAAAAAAAAAAAAAAAAAAAAAAUUGCAAAAUAA